rnacentral:rRNA from 1 species
GGGUUGUGAGGUUAAGCGACUAAGCGUACACGGUGGAUGCCCUGGCAGUCAGAGGCGAUGAAGGGCGUGCUAAUCUGCGAUAAGCGCCGGUAAGGUGAUAUGAACCGUUAUAACCGGCGAUACCCGAAUGGGGAAACCCAGUGUGAUUCGUCACACUAUCAUUAACUGAAUCCAUAGGUUAAUGAGGCGAACCGGGGGAACUGAAACAUCUAAGUACCCCGAGGAAAAGAAAUCAACCGAGAUUCCCCCAGUAGCGGCGAGCGAACGGGGAGGAGCCCAGAGCCUGAAUCAGCAUGUGUGUUAGUGGAAGCGUCUGGAAAGGCGCGCGAUACAGGGUGACAGCCCCGUACACAAAAGCGCAUGUGCUGUGAGCUCGAUGAGUAGGGCGGGACACGUGGUAUCCUGUCUGAAUAUGGGGGGACCAUCCUCCAAGGCUAAAUACUCCUGACUGACCGAUAGUGAACCAGUACCGUGAGGGAAAGGCGAAAAGAACCCCGGCGAGGGGAGUGAAAAAGAACCUGAAACCGUGUACGUACAAGCAGUGGGAGCNNGUGACUGCGUACCUUUUGUAUAAUGGGUCAGCGACUUAUAUUCUGUAGCAAGGUUAACCGAAUAGGGGAGCCGGAGGGAAACCGAGUCUUAAUUGGGCGUUAAGUUGCAGGGUAUAGACCCGAAACCCGGUGAUCUAGCCAUGGGCAGGUUGAAGGUUGGGUAACACUAACUGGAGGACCGAACCGACUAAUGUUGAAAAAUUAGCGGAUGACCUGUGGCUGGGGGUGAAAGGCCAAUCAAACCGGGAGAUAGCUGGUUCUCCCCGAAAGCUAUUUAGGUAGCGCCUCGUGAAUUCAUCUCCGGGGGUAGAGCACUGUUUCGGCUAGGGGGCCAUCCCGGCUUACCAACCCGAUGCAAACUGCGAAUACCGGAGAAUGUUAUCACGGGAGACACACGGCGGGUGCUAACGUCCGUCGUGAAGAGGGAAACAACCCAGACCGCCAGCUAAGGUCCCAAAGUCAUGGUUAAGUGGGAAACGAUGUGGGAAGGCCCAGACAGCCAGGAUGUUGGCUUAGAAGCAGCCAUCAUUUAAAGAAAGCGUAAUAGCUCACUGGUCGAGUCGGCCUGCGCGGAAGAUGUAACGGGGCUAAACCAUGCACCGAAGCUGCGGCAGCGACGCUUAUGCGUUGUUGGGUAGGGGAGCGUUCUGUAAGCCUGUGAAGGUGUGUCGUGAGGCAUGCUGGAGGUA